rnacentral:lncRNA from 1 species
AAGUACAUUUUCUGCUAUGAUGCUGCAAACAGGCACCAGGAUGAGUCAGACCCAUUUAAGAUUGUUGAGCCUCACAGGUUUGGCGAUUUAAUUACGUGUUUUGUGGGAUUUGCAAGCUGCGUGCAAUCUCCCCGCAUGCGUCAGGUCCACACGUGGCAGUGGCCCUUGUCUCUCUCUGGUUUUGUUUGGUGGUACAUCAGGCCAGGCUCUGGAAGCCUGGAAUUGAGGAUGCAAGCAUGUUCAUGCGUGCGGUGUGGGAUCGGCCGGGAAGGAAAUCGCUGGAGGCCUUCCGCUCCCUCCUCCACCUGGGGCUGGGCCGCGAAAACAAUAACAGAGUACACCAGUCAUCAUAAGAAGAAAAAUUCACAUUUAAAGUUUGGAAAGCAACAGGACAAAGGUCUGUCUUCAGUGGUGCGUAGACAUGUUCGUGAUUGAAUUGGAAAUAGUUCUCUUUCCUUCUCUCUGACUUCCUAACUGAAAAGCUGCAGCGUGGGGAGAAAGGCUGCUCAGAAGCCUGGAGCCAGAACACGCACCCUGGCUUUGGUAGGGCCGGCUUGUUUGGUUAGAAUCGAAGGAAAAGCCUUGUUAUUUGGGAAGCUGGGCAUCCUCACCAAAUUAGGGGAUUUAAUUUGCAGAUAUCUAAGGAGUGCUUUGAAAUGAAAGAUGAACUAAAAUCUGCUCCGAGGCCCGUGAUUUUUGACCAGUGGAGAAGGAUUCUCUUGCUGCUGGACAUACGUGGAAAGCAUCGUCUGAUCUGAAACGCAAGUCCCUGCAAGACGGAGGAGAGACUGUAUAAACAUUGUAUACCAUUAUAUGAAAUCAAUUCGAUUCAGGGCUAGAAUUCAAGAAAUAAUCCAUGGGCGAGUAUGUCUGAUGGUAAACCCCAACCAUUAUACUGUUACCCUCUUGUACUUUUUAAAAUUUGUUAUUAUUUGAUAUUAUUAUCACAAAAGUCUCUGGAACAGGAUCCAUGAGCUGCUCCUUCACUGCUUAGUGUUUUCAGAAGCUGACGGAUUAUUAAGCUCCAAUUGAAUACUUGAUUUCCAAUGAUUCCAUUAAUUUUUCUGGUUUGUGAUAGGAUUUGAUUUACUUAUUUUGUACUUUAACACACCAAUAAAAAAUAGAUAUUAAGAAAUAGUGAAAUUUGUUGCCUCAAAAUAACCCUUAAAAUUUAGAGUUUAGUGAAAUUAAGCAAUUCAAAUAGAGAAACGAUUAUCCUUCAUUUCCUUAAGGCACAGAAAUUGAGACUAGGUUCGAGAACCUUCAUAUUUUAAAAACUGGAAAAUACUGGCUAAGUGAGGACUGGGCAGUCAUACUCCACACAUGCUCUGUGUGCUUGGAGCGAAGCGGGGAACGCACUGAAUGAGAUGAACUGGAAGGAGGUGCAGCAGCGAAGGAAAUCCUUCUGUUGGGAGAGUUCACCUGUUUAGGAUAAUCCUUCGAAUAGGACCCAAUAGUGAUGUGAGGAGAAGCUUUGGAGCUGAUUUAGAUUUAGACAGUCUAUCACAGGCUGUUUGGUUGCAUCCCUUUGGGGCCAGUCUCAUUUUAGGUCUAAAUAUGCAGGAAUGGGGCUCUGGCUUCCAGAAGUUUCAGGCUGCAAAAGGCUGGGGCCACCAUCUUUACAGAUAAUCCACUAGUUUGAUUCUCUUGGGGACCAGGAAGAAAACCAAGAACACUCAAUGGACUAUGGGACUCAAAUAAUCCACAGGAGGCGUUUGUAAAGGGGCAGAACUGUGUGUGCCCAGUAAUUCUUGGAGCUCACAGUAGAGGUGGAGAAGCAGUGAUGGGCCCCACAGCAGCAGGGGCUUGGGAAUGACGGAAAAGAAAAAAAUGAUGGAAGGACAGCUGGAAGAAACAGGGAAGCUUCCUUUUAACUGGAUGCUGGGUCUCAGCCUUGAAUAGUUCCAGGCCUUCGGAGGCCUUUUCUCAGGGUGCAUGGCCUGGGGACUCCCUGCUUGCUCUGCUGAGCUUUCAGGGAAGGAGAAAUGGGCAAGGCCAGAGGCGACCAUCAGGUGCUCCGUAGGCACAGAAGCAGAACUCAAGGUUUAGCUUUACCUUAAGAGGGUGACUGCAAAGUGUGCUCCCUGGACCAGGGGCCUCGGCCUCACCUGGGAGCUUGCUAAAAAUGCAAGUUUCUCUCGCCCAGACUGAAUCCAAAAUUCUGGGUACAGCCCAGCAAUCUCUGCUCACACUUUCUCCAGGUGAUUCUGGUGCAAGCUAACCUUUAAAAAGUCCUGGGUCCCAUUCCCAGAGGCUGUGAUUAAGUUGGUCUAGGGCUGUGGCCUAGACCUGGGGGUUUUGGAAGCCCACAGGUGAUUCUGUUGUGCAGCCAUGGUUGGCAGGCUGUUCGCGGUGCUGUUCAACAGGUCCUGCUGUGGGAUGGAAAGGGUCUGUAUCUGCACUGGCCAAUGUGGGAGCCAGCCCUGUGGCUACUGAGCACUUGGCCCCUGGCUAAUGCAACUGAGGAGCUGAAUUUUUCAUUUCGUUUACUUUUAAUUAAGUUUAAAUAGCUAAAUGUGGCUAUUGGCUGCCUUAUUGGAUAGCAGAGUUCUAGAGCCACAGAUAAAUGUAAUACUGUCCCAUUAGUUGAUUUAAAAAUCCAAUGCCUCACAGAGUUAAAUAUUUAAGUUGAUAAGAAAAAUGGUAGUCAAGAGUCUUUGAGGAUUAUUUUAAAAUCCAUUUUUGGUGAUAAAUAGAUAAAAACAGUGUGGUAGGGCCCAGAAGUUCUUCCUGAUUUCUACCUGUUGGAGCUGAAUUCCUCAAUUUUACUUGUAGGAGAACGGCUUCCUAAAGGGCACCUUACCCAGCCAUUCCUGCACGCAAGUGUGUAUGAGAACUGCAGGGGGCAUUGUAUGAAAAUCCAAUUCCUGGGCUCUCUCCCAGAUGUUCCUAUCCAAUAGGUCUGGGUUGGGGCCCUGGAAACUGCAUUUUUGGCAAACCCCUUACUGAUUUGCAUGCACAAGUUUCAAGGAACAGGCACUAAGGAUCGCUGAUUUAGAAUCUGUUUGUCCAUCCAGGAAAGCCAGAGUCACCACACUUGAGUACAGUGGGUUUUGAUGUAGGAAAGGUCUUUAUAAUUCUUUCAUGAAUUCACCAAACUUUAAAAACUGUACUGUUUUUGGCUGGGCAUGGUGGCUCACGCCUGUAAUCCCAGCACUUUGGGGGCCGAGGAGGGUGGAUCAUGAGGUCAGGAGAUCAAGACCAUCCUAGCUAACACAGUGAAAACCUGUCUCUACGAAAAAUAC